rnacentral:tRNA from 1 species
GGCUCCGUAGCUUAAUUGGAUAGAGCACCUGACUACGGAUCAGGAGGUUACAGGUUCGAGUCCUGUCGGAGUCA